AGCGAACGUUUGCGGCGGGCUUAACACAUGCAAGUCGAACGAGAAUCCCUUCGGGGAGGAAAGUGGCGCACGGGUGCGUAACACGUGGAUAACCAACCCAUUGGUUUGGGACAACACCGGGAAACUGGUGCUAAUACCAGAUGUGUCGCAGCUGUCUUCAGGCGGUUGCGAGAAAGGCCCGCAAGGGUCGCCAACGGACGGGUCCGCGUCCCAUCAGCUAGUUGGUGAGGUAAUGGCUCACCAAGGCAAAGACGGGUAGCUGGUCUGAGAGGAUGAUCAGCCACACUGGAACUGAGACACGGUCCAGACUCCUACGGGAGGCAGCAGUGGGGAAUAUUGCGCAAUGGGCGAAAGCCUGACGCAGCCACGCCGCGUGAGCGAUGAAGGUCUUCGGAUCGUAAAGCUCUGUGGGGGGAGAAGAAGAAAGCCGGUGAAGAGCCGGCCCUGACGGUAUCCCCUUAGCAAGCACCGGCUGACUCCGUGCCAGCAGCCGACGG
rnacentral:rRNA from 1 species